rnacentral:rRNA from 1 species
GCUACGCGAAAGUGUAGGUAAACACCGAUAGGCAAUAGGCACUGCAAGGUCCUAUUGCUCAAACUCGUGCCUUAGGAUGAGUUGGCGGCCGAUUAGGUAGUUGGCGGGGUAAAGGCCCACCAAGCCUUGGAUCGGUACGGGUCAUGAAAGUGAUAGCCCGGAGAGGGACACUGAGAUACUGGUCCCAGCCCUACGGGGUGCAGCAGGCGCGAAAACUCUCCAAUGUGCGAAAGCGUGAGAGGGGAAUUCCUAGUGCUAUGGGUUUAUCCCAUGGCUUUUGCCAAGUGUAAAUAGCUUGGCGAAUAAGUGGUGGGCAAGACUGGUGCCAGCCGCCGCGGUAACACCAGCGCCACGAGUGGCUAUCACGAUUAUUGGGCCUAAAGCGUCCGUAGUCGGUUCUGUACAUCUUCUGUGAAAUCGUUGCGCUUAACGUAACGGCACGCGGAAGACACGGCAGAGCUUGAGAGCGGGAGGCGUGAAGAGUACUCCGGGGGGACCGGUAAAAUGGUAUAAUCCCCGGAAGACUACCUGUGGCGAAGGCGCUUCACGAGAACGCAUCUGACGAUGAGGGACGAAAGCCAGGGGAGCAAACCGGAUUAGAUACCCGAGUAGUCCUGGCCGUAAACGCUGUCAGCUAGGUGUUGCAUGUUCUUUGUGAACUUGCAGUAUCGGAGCGAAGGUAUUAAGCUGACCGCCUGGGAAGUACGGUCGCAAGACUGAAACUUUA